rnacentral:rRNA from 1 species
AGUGAACGCUGGCGGCAGGCCUAACACAUGCAAGUCGAGCGGCAGCGGGUCCUUCGGGAUGCCGGCGAGCGGCGGACGGGUGAGGAAUGCGUCGGAAUCUGCCUUUUUGUGGGGGAUAACGUAGGGAAACUUACGCUAAUACCGCAUACGACCUACGGGUGAAAGUGGGGGAUCGCAAGGCCUCACGCAGAAAGAUGAGCCGGCGCCGGAUUAGCUAGUUGGCGGGGUAAAGGCCCACCAAGGCGACGAUCCGUAGCUGGUCUGAGAGGAUGAUCAGCCACACUGGAACUGAGACACGGUCCAGACUCCUACGGGAGGCAGCAGUGGGGAAUAUUGGACAAUGGGCGCAAGCCUGAUCCAGCCAUGCCGCGUGUGUGAAGAAGGCCUUCGGGUUGUAAAGCACUUUUGUCCGGAAAGAAAUCCAAUCGAUUAAUACUCGGUUGGGAUGACGGUACCGGAAGAAUAAGCACCGGCUAACUUCGUGCCAGCAGCCGCCGUAAUAC